GGGGAUAACACUUGGAAACAGGUGCUAAUACCGUAUAACACUAUUUUCCGCAUGGAAGAAAGUUGAAAGGCGCUUUUGCGCCACUGAUGGAUGGACCCGCGGUGCAUUAGCUAGUUGGUGAGGUAACGGCUCACCAAGGCCACGAUGCAUAGCCGACCUGAGAGGGUGAUCGGCCACACUGGGACUGAGACACGGCCCAGACUCCUACGGGAGGCAGCAGUAGGGAAUCUUCGGCAAUGGACGAAAGUCUGACCGAGCAACGCCGCGUGAGUGAAGAAGGUUUUCGGAUCGUAAAACUCUGUUGUUAGAGAAGAACAAGGAUGAGAGUAAAACGUUCAUCCCUUGACGGUAUCUAACCAGAAAGCCACGGCUAACUACGUGCCAGCAGCCGCGGUAAUACGUAGGUGGCAAGCGUUGUCCGGAUUUAUUGGGCGUAAAGCGAGCGCAGGCGGUUUCUUAAGUCUGAUGUGAAAGCCCCCGGCUCAACCGGGGAGGGUCAUUGGAAACUGGGAGACUUGAGUGCAGAAGAGGAGAGUGGAAUUCCAUGUGUAGCGGUGAAAUGCGUAGAUAUAUGGAGGAACACCAGUGGCGAAGGCGGCUCUCUGGUCUGUAACUGACGCUGAGGCUCGAAAGCGUGGGGAGCGAACAGGAUUAGAUACCCUGGUAGUCCACGCCGUAAACGAUGAGUGAUGAGUGUUGGAGGGUUUCCGCCCUUCAGUGCUGCAG
rnacentral:rRNA from 1 species